rnacentral:pre_miRNA from 1 species
CCUAUACUCCCUCCGUUCGGAAUUACUCGUCCAAAAAAUGAAUGUAUCUAGAUGUAUUUUAGUUGUAGAUACAUCCAUUUUGUGACAAGUAAUUCCGAACGGAGGGAGUAGGUU